rnacentral:rRNA from 1 species
UACGUAGGGUGCAAGCGUUGUCCGGAAUUAUUGGGCGUAAAGAGCUCGUAGGCGGCUCGUCGCGUCUGCUGUGAAAGCCCGGGGCUUAACCCCGGGUCUGCAGUGGGUACGGGCGGGCUAGAGUGCGGUAGGGGAGACUGGAAUUCCUGGUGUAGCGGUGAAAUGCGCAGAUAUCAGGAGGAACACCGGUGGCGAAGGCGGGUCUCUGGGCCGAUACUGACGCUGAGGAGCGAAAGCGUGGGGAGCAAACAGG